rnacentral:rRNA from 1 species
AAUAGAUACCCGGGUAGUCCACGCCGUAAACGAUGUCGACUUGGAGGUUGUGCCCUUGAGGCGUGGCUUCCGGAGCUAACGCGUUAAGUCGACCGCCUGGGGAGUACGGCCGCAAGGUUAAAACUCAAAUGAAUUGACGGGGGGCCCGCACAAGCGGUGGAGCAUGUGGUUUAAUUCGAUGCAACGCGAAGAACCUUACCUACUCUUGACAUCCACGGAAUUUAGCAGAGAUGCUUUAGUGCCUUCGGGAACCGUGAGACAGGUGCUGCAUGGCUGUCGUCAGCUCGUGUUGUGAAAUGUUGGGUUAAGUCCCGCAACGAGCGCAACCCUUAUCCUUUGUUGCCAGCGGUUAGGCCGGGAACUCAAAGGAGACUGCCAGUGAUAAACUGGAGGAAGGUGGGGAUGACGUCAAGUCAUCAUGGCCCUUACGAGUAGGGCUACACACGUGCUACAAUGGCAUAUACAAAGAGAAGCGACCUCGCGAGAGCAAGCGGACCUCAUAAAGUAUGUCGUAGUCCGGAUUGAGUCUGC